ACACACAAAAACACAACAAUGAUUGUUAGACGUGUGCGGCACCCCCCUUCACAGUUUAUGCCUCCGGUCAUAUUGUCGUAGUGCUUAGGCGAAGCCCUGCGCGGAUCAUUUCACUAUCACCGUCACCAUGCCGUUGUGCUGACAAACUCUCCCUCGACACUUUGAUAGAUCAAGAGUUUGAAGGACGUCAUCAAGCUGAAGUGUGAAGAACUCGAAGGUGCCGUACGUUUGGUGCUUGAUCAGGCGGAACGAGAAGAAGUUCGACUACAUCAACCGCGUUGUCAAACGCUUUCGCUUUUGAUCUACAAGGGUACGUGGACACACUCUCCCCCUCUCGUUGUUAUGCAUCUCCUACAUAAACUUGCAUGAGUGUAGGAAUUUUUUUAAAAUUACAUGCUACGUUUCCUAACACCACAUAAAGGCGCACAACGUACUGCUUGCAGGAUCCGGCAGCACUGCCACAUCCAAAACUGCAAAAAAUAUAAGAAAGAAGCCCUUUUCUGAACUGCACGGGUGGUUGUCGCCGCCAUUAACCCACAUCACCACGGUAUCCCAAGAAAGAGGGAAGCUAUGGCGGCCACCACAUGUGUCAUCGUCGUUAGCCACAGACGACGGAAGCAGUAAAGGAGGCAGCGGAGGCCAUGGCCACCGGAUCUGGAGGAGGGAAGCCUUGGCCGCUACCACGCCGGGACAUCACCUCUCCCUGGUCAGGAUCGAGGGGCGGCGACUCCGACAGUAAGAGGAUCACCGCCGGGGAUGCAGGGGGAGUUCCGGUGUUGGGGGCGCAGGAGAUCAGCGCGCCGCCGUUGUACGAGGAGGGAGGCAGAGCGGGUUCCUCCGAGCACACGUGCUGCCGUCGCCCCAUCCAAGCGUGAGAUCCUCUGACCUCUCCAACUCGCGUGGCGGUGUGGAGGCGUGUGGCAGACUGCGCGUCGGCAGGGCGACGAGGGGCCGCCUCGGAUCCGGCAUAGGGGAGGGCGGUGGUAUGAGGUGCGCCGUCCGCGGGUGGGAUUUAGUCGCGGUGUGGCGUGCGCCACCAUGGAUGGGGGUGGUUGGUGUGCCGCCGGAGGGGAGAGGUGUGGUGCUGUGGUGGUGGUGAGCGGCAAGACUGGGGGGAGUUGGUGGUGGGAUGGGAU
rnacentral:rRNA from 1 species